UACGGAAGGGGCAAGCGUUGUUCGGAAUCAUUGGGCGUAAAGGGCGCGUAGGUGGCUCUGUAUGUCUACCGUGAAAGCAUACAGCUCAACUGUAUUUUGUCGGUAGAAACUGCAGGACUUGAGGCUGGGAGGGGCUGGUGGAAUUCCCUGUGUAGCGGUGAAAUGCGUAGAUAUGCGGAGGAACACCGAUGGCGAAGGCAAUCCCCUGGGCCUGCACUGACGCUCAUGCACGAAAGCGUGGGGAGCAAACAGG
rnacentral:rRNA from 1 species